rnacentral:tRNA from 11 species
CGUGGCCUACUGGAUAAGACACCAGGCUAGUAACCCGGAGGUCGCGGGUUCGAUCCCGG